rnacentral:rRNA from 1 species
GACGAACGCUGGCGGCGUGCUUAACACGUGCAAGUCGAACGGAAAGGCCCUGCUUUUGUGGGGUGCUCGAGUGGCGAACGGGUGAGUAACACGUGAGUAACCUGCCCUUGACUUUGGGAUAACUUCAGGAAACUGGGGCUACUACCGGAUAGGAGCUCCUGCUGCAUGGUGGGGGUUGGAAAGUUUCGGCGGUUGGGGGUGGACUCGCGGCUUAUCAGCUUGUGGGUGGGGUGGUGGCUUACCAAGGCUUUGCCGGGUAGCCGGCCUGAGAGGGUGAACAGGCACAAUGGGACUGAGGUAGGGCCCAGUCUGCUACGGGAGGCAGCGGUGGGGAAUAUUGCACAAUGGGCGGAAGCCUGAGGCAGAAGCGCCGCGUGCGGGAUGAAGGCCUUCGGGUUGUAAACCGCGUUCGCCUGUGACGAAGCGUGAGUGACGGUAAUGGGUAAAGAAGCACCGGCUAACUACGUG